GACAGAGGGUGCAAACGUUGUUCGGAAUUACUGGGCGUAAAGCGUGUGUAGGCGGCCAUGCAAGUCGGAUGUGAAAGCCCUGGGCUCAACCCAGGAAGUGCACUCGAAACUGCGUGGCUUGAGUACUGGAGAGGUUGGUGGAAUUCUCGGUGUAGAGGUGAAAUUCGUAGAUAUUCGGAAGAACACCAGUGGCGAAGGCGGCUCACUGGACCGGUAUUGGACGCUGAGGUGCGAAAAGCGUGGGGAGCAAAGCAGG
rnacentral:rRNA from 1 species